rnacentral:rRNA from 1 species
UACAGAGGGUGUAAGCGUUGCUCGGAUUUACUGGGCGUAAAGGGCGCGUAGGCGGCGCAACAAGUCGAUUGUGAAAUCUCCGGGCUUAACUCGGAGCGGCCAAUCGAUACUGUCGUGCUAGAGUGCGGAAGGGGCUACUGGAAUUCUCGGUGUAGCGGUGAAAUGCGUAGAUAUCGAGAGGAACACCUGCGGCGAAGGCGGGUAGCUGGGCCGACACUGACGCUGAGGCGCGAAAGCUAGGGGAGCGAACGGG